AUCAGCUACAUAGGGGAAAAUUGGAGCAAUAUACUGUAUUUUUCAGUCUAGAAGACACACUCCCCACCCCCAAAGAAGAUUUCCUCUGCUCUUCCUUAGCAGUGCCACAGGAAGGAUUUGUUUAGAUGUUCAAGCAGGAAAAUAAAGAGUCUUUCUCCAGUCCUUAGCUGUUUCUCAUCCAAAAAUCCAGGAAUUGCACAUCUGCUGGAAUAUUGUACCAGCUUUGUUGAAAUCUAGUGAUUUGGAAAAGCAGAGCAAGGGAAAAGGGACAGACUGUUUACAACUUACAACACAGAAGCACAUAAUUAUUCCAUGAGCAAUGGAUGACAUGCAGAGGGCUGAUGGAGAAUUCAGAGUCUGAAAAAAAGCAUGCAGUUGACAAUACUCUGCUAGCAACUGGCAUUUAUUUUCCUUUGCUGUUACAGUGUGCAAAUAGACAGCCAGAGAUAUUUCAUGAUUUGGGCUUCUAUAAUAAUGUCUCCAGGCAGAUCUUUGUGGGCUUACAGUAAACGUAGAUCUAUCUCUUUACUGUCAUAUAUUGCCACCAUGGUAAUGGCUCUACCCUGUAACACGUUAGGAAAUUGUA